CCAAUAGCGUAUAUUAAAGUUGUUGCAGUUAAAAAGCUCGUAGUUGAAUUUCGGGAUCAAUACGUCGGUCGUGCUUCGGUACGUACUGGCGUCAUUGAUUUCUCCCUUCUGACGAACCACGAUGUCAUUAACUUGGUGUCAUGGGAAAUCAGGACUGUUACUUUGAAAAAAUUAGAGUGUUUAAAGCAGGCUCACGCUUGAAUACAUUAGCAUGGAAUAAUGAAAUAGGACGUUCGAUCCUAUUUUGUUGGUUUUAGGAUCAACGUAAUGAUUAAUAGGGAUAGUUGGGGGCAUUAGUAUUCAAUUGUCAGAGGUGAAAUUCUUGGAUUUAUUGAAGACUAACUACUGCGAAAGCAUUUGCCAAGGAUGUUUUCAUUAAUCAAGAACGAAAGUUAGGGGAUCGAAGACGAUCAGAUACCGUCGUAGUCUUAACCAUAAACUGUGCCGACUAGGGAUCGGAUGAUGUUAAUUUUUUAAUGACUCAUUCGGCGCCUUACG
rnacentral:rRNA from 1 species